CAGUAGCCGCGGGAAUACGUAGGCAGCAAGCGUUGUUCGGAGUUACUGGGCGUAAAGGGUGCGUAGGCGGCUCUAUAAGUAUGGUGUGAAAUCUCCCGGCUCAACUGGGAGGGUGCGCCGUAGACUGCGGGGCUAGAGUGUGGGAGAGGAAAGUGGAAUUCCUGGUGUAGCGGUGAAAUGCGUAGAUAUCAGGAGGAACACCGGUGGUGUAAACGGCUUUCUGGACCAUAACUGACGCUGAGGCACGAAAGCGUGGGUAGCAAACAGGAUUAGAUACCCCGGUAGUCCCUGUCUCUUAUAC
rnacentral:rRNA from 1 species